CCCAAAAUCCUCAUUUAUCUAAAAUUCUCCUCAAAUUCUUCAUUCCGAUUGUCCCAAUUUGCUAAACCUUUGUUUCUCACUCAAAAUUGUCUUUAAAUAUCCAACUUUAAGUGAGGAUUCAUGUGUCUCCAAGUUGAGUCUUCAGUGCAAACAACAACAUUGUGAGAUGAAUUAUACUUCACCAAUGAUUUGGAGAAUAGGUAGAGUGAGUAAUGGCGGUGGUAGCAAGACGGUGGUGUAGGAUGGACACAAGCAAACAGUUGGAUAGGAAUUAAGGAUGACGAAAAGAAAUGUACAACCCUUUCAAGAAGAGACCCUGUACAAAAGAACGAAUGAGAAAAAGGCAACGAGAGGUCGCAGGACCAGACUAUUGUAUCAGGCAUUCGCUUACCUCGUCUCGUCCAUGUCCUUCCUUGUAGCUGACUCCUAUGUCUUCUCUAUGUAGGAAAAGGAAAGAAAAUGCUAUUUGAUUAGAAAGACAGUUAAGAAUGAUUAGCGGUUACUCAAAGUAACUUCCAGUCAAACAUUUCAAUUCAAGAAAACCGGGAUUUAGCUUUCAUUACGGUGAUAUUCCAGAUAUCAUGCUGCAAAGUUGCUAGUAACAUGCCACCUUGUAAAAAUAUUGGAACUAAUAUUUUAUUCCCUUGUAGGAGCAGCAUUCACCAAUACAAUAGUGAAAAUGUAAUUGUAAAUUAAAUUAUGCUAAAUUCGAUUCCAAGAUACCAACCACAUUUACUGUAUGUAACAUAACAAAUCAAAUUGCUGUUCAAAAGGAAUAGUCCAACACGACCAAUAAGUACUUAAUAACAAAUCAUUCUCCAAGUACUCUUAGGAUAGAUGAUAACCGGUAGUUAAGAUAUAAUACAA